rnacentral:rRNA from 1 species
AACGAACGCUGGCGGCAUGCCUAACACAUGCAAGUCGAACGAGACCUUCGGGUCUUGUGGCGCACGGGUGCGUAACGCGUGGGAACCUGCCCUUAGGUUCGGAAUAACUCCCCGAAAGGGGUGCUAAUACCGGAUAAUGUCUUCGGACCAAAGAUUUAUCGCCUUUGGAUGGGCCCGCGUUGGAUUCGCUAGUUGGUAGGGUAAAAGCCUACCAAGGCGACGAUCCAUAGCUGGUCUGAGAGGAUGAUCAGCCACACUGGGACUGAGACACGGCCCAGACUCCUACGGGAGGCAGCAGUGGGGAAUAUUGGACAAUGGGCGAAAGCCUGAUCCAGCAAUGCCGCGUGAGUGAUGAAGGCCUUAGGGUUGUAAAGCUCUUUUACCCGGGAUGAUAAUGACAGUACCGGGAGAAUAAGCUCCGGCUAACUCCGUG